UUGGAGGGCAAGUCUGGUGCCAGCAGCCGCGGUAAUUCCAGCUCCAAUAGCGUAUAUUAAAGUUGUCGCAGUUAAAAAGCUCGUAGUUGAAUUUCGGGAUCAGACUGUCGGUCGUGCCUCGGUACGCACUGGCAUUAUUGGUUCCUACCUUCUGAAGAACCGCGAUGUCAUUAAUUUGGUGUCGCGGGGAAUCAGGACUGUUACUUUGAAAAAAUUAGAGUGUUUAAAGCAGGCUUACGCUUGAAUACAUUAGCAUGGAAUAAUGAAAUAGGACGUUUGAUUCUAUUUUGUUGGUUUCUAGGAUCGACGUAAUGAUUAAUAGGGAUAGUUGGGGGCAUUAGUAUUCAAUUGUCAGAGGUGAAAUUCUUGGAUUUAUUGAAGACUAACUACUGCGAAAGCAUUUGCCAAGGAUGUUUUCAUUAAUCAAGAACGAAAGUUAGGGGAUCGAAGACGAUCAGAUACCGUCGUAGUCUUAACCAUAAACUAUGCCGACUAGGGAUCGGAUGAUGUUAAUUUUAUAAUGACUCAUUCGGCGCCUUACGGGAAACCAAAGUGUUUGGGUUC
rnacentral:rRNA from 1 species